GUAAGCAUUUGAACUGUAUGAAGUAUUUUGAAGACUUGAAAACUAGCGGCGGAUUAAACUGUUCGUGAGUUCGAAUCUCACCGCUUCCGCCA
rnacentral:tRNA from 1 species